UCCCUGGUGGUCCAGAGGUUAGGACUUGGAACUGUCACUGCUGUGGCCCAGGUUAAAUCCCUGGUCAGGGAA
rnacentral:tRNA from 2 species